rnacentral:rRNA from 1 species
AUUGAACGCUGGCGGCAGGCCUAACACAUGCAAGUCGAACGAGUGGCGGACGGGUGAGUCAUUUCUGGGAAACUUCCUGAUGGAGGGGGAUAACUACUGGAAACGGUAGCUAAUACCGCAUACCAUCAGAUUUUCCCAGAUGGGAUUAGCUUGUUGGUGGGGUAACGGCUCACCUCGGCGACGAUCCCUAGCUGGUCUGCGAGGAUGACCAGCCACACUGGAACUGAGACACGGUCCAGACUCCUACGUGAGGCAGCAGUGGGGAAUAUUGCACAAUGGGAGCAAGCCUGAUGCAGCCAUGCCGCGUGUAUGAAGAAGGCCUUCGGGUUGUAAAGUACUUUCAGCGGGGAGGCGUUACCCGCAGAAGAAGCACCGGCUAACUCCGUGCCAGCAGCCGCGGUAAUAC